rnacentral:lncRNA from 12 species
AUGCAAGGAGAACCCAAACAAAUGCAGAGAGAUAUAGACAAACCAGCCAGUCUAGUCAGCGCAGAAGAGGCAGGUAUGUGGGUGGAGGCAGUCACAGAGGGACGCGCAUCAAAAUCUACGGAACACGGGCACAGUGAGGACAGGGACAAGAUGCAGGACAGUAGCAGAGAGGUGUGCUUCUUGAAUUGUCCUACCUCUGCUUCCACUUUGUUUCUCUCUCAGAUCCAGCGCCACUGUAGCUUUAUGAAUACUGCCUGUGGGAAUCUUGUUUGUCCCAUUUAUAUUUCAGGAUAUAAUCAGGAUCGCUCUCCCACCCCCAACUUACUAAGCCUCCUGCACAUUAAAGACUGAGAAGCACCACCCAAGAUGAAAAGACUGCAAGUGGGGAUCCCUGGGUGGCUCAGCAGUCUAGCGCCUGCCUUCAGCCCAGGGCGUGAUCCUGGAGACCCGGGAUCGAGUCCCAUGUUGGGCUCCCUGCAUGGAGCCUACUUCUCUCUCUGCCUCUCUCUCUCUCUCUCUCUCUCUCUCUCUGUGUGUGUCUCUCAUGAGUAAAUAAAUAAAAUCUUUAAUAAGUAAAUAAAAGACUC